GAUUGUCUCUUUGCCAUCGCUUGAGGAAGGGAGUUCCCAGCGAUAGGAAGAACGAGGCUCUGGGGAAAGGAGAGCGUCAGUCCUGGGGACCCCACCGCUCUGUGGAUCCUCCAUUGUUCAUACUGACACAGGCUGCAGUUUCCUCAGCAAUAAAUCUGCCCCAUGGGUCCAGGAGUGUCCCCCGCUGCCCCACCAUUGUCUCUCAGAGGAAACCUUAUCCAGGAGGAGGUCUAGAUGUGUCCUUUUUUCACCGAGAGGCCAGGAGGGCAGCAGGAGAGAGUGGACAGGAGAGGAGAUGGGACGUCUGUGCCUAGGUAAACAACAACCAUGCUUCCUCAAGUUCAAGUGCUGUAAGGAUAUUGUACAUGCAUGGUAAUUGUGUCAGCCCUCCAUUUAAAACUUAGCCAUGUUAGUGGGAUUCUCCCCUGGCAAACAAAAAAAUAAAGAGCCAAGCUCCUGGGGGUCCAGCAGAAAGUUCUGUCCAGCCACUCAAUCCGAUCUCAGUGCUCUUUCCAGUCUCGGUGCUCGAUCAAGUCUCAGCACACAAUGCCGUCUCUGCACUCAGUCGAGUCUCACCACUCGAUGCUGUUUCAGCGCUUGAUCGAGUCUCAGUGCUCGAUUGGGUCUCAGCCCUCAAUCCAGUCUCAGUGCUCAAUCCAGUCUCAGUGCUCAAUCCAGUCUCAGUGCUCAAUCCAGUAUCGGCACUUGAUCAGCUGUGGGCCUGCCAUCACCUGCCAAGACAUAUCCAGCCUCCAUACUUUUUAUGUCACUUUGUUGUGCCGGGGCCCCAGAGAAGCCAAUAACAAACAAGAUGGAUAUUAGCCAUGAGACACUGAGCAAUGUGGGAAACAAUUAACCCAGAAAGCCAAGGAAGCAUCAACCAAACAUCCCAAGAUGGACACAUGUCACCAGCCUUACAAUGUUGUGGUAUAUUAGAGCUGCAAGAAAUGGGAAGUGGGGGAUUUGUCAAAAGUAAAAGUUUAAGAGCUGA